rnacentral:rRNA from 1 species
GGUAGAUGGUGGGGUAACGGCCCACCAUGCCGAUAAUCGGUACAGGUUGUGAGAGCAAGAGCCUGGAGACGGUAUCUGAGACAAGAUACCGGGCCCUACGGGGCGCAGCAGGCGCGAAACCUUUACACUGCACGACAGUGCGAUAGGGGGACUCCGAGUGCGAGGGCAUAUAGCCCUCGCUUUUCUGUACCGUAAGGUGGUACAGGAACAAGGACUGGGCAAGACCGGUGCCAGCCGCCGCGGUAAUACCGGCAGUC